GGAAUCUUGCGCAAUGGGCGAAAGCCUGACGCAGCAACGCCGCGUGCGGGAUGAAGGCCUUCGGGCUGUAAACCGCUUUCAGCAGGAACGAAAAUGACGGUACCUGCAGAAGAAGGAGCGGCCAACUACGUGCCAGCAGCCGCGGUGACACGUAGGCUCCAAGCGUUGUCCGGAUUUAUUGGGCGUAAAGAGCUCGUAGGCGGUUUAGUAAGUCGGGUGUUAAAACUCUGGGCUCAACCCGGAGAGGCCAUCCGAUACUGCUGUGACUUGAGUUCAGGAGGGGAGCGGGGAAUUCCUAGUGUAGCGGUGAAAUGCGCAGAUAUUAGGAGGAACACCGGUGGCGAAGGCGCCGCUCUGGACUGAAACUGACGCUGAGGAGCGAAAGCAUGGGUAGCAAGCAGGAUUAGAUACCCUGGUAGUCCAUGCCGUAAACGGUGGGCACUAGGUGUGGGUUCCAACUAACGGGAUCCGCGCCGUCGCUAACGCAUUAAGUGCCCCGCCUGGGGAGUACGGUCGCAAGACUAAAACUCAAAGGAAUUGACGG
rnacentral:rRNA from 1 species